rnacentral:lncRNA from 1 species
AUGCAUUUGGGGUCAGAGAAACACAGAUCUGGACAUUUCCAACUUGUCAUGGUAACCAUCAAUCGAGCAGCCUCAUCCAGAAUGCCGAGCGCUCUGGGAUCCGGGGAAGAAGCUGUUAUGCCCAAGCUUUGUGCCUGGGAUGAGAAGCCGCUGGUUCUUGCCUCUUCUUUUCAGAGGACUUCACGUAUGUUGAAGAUCCUGCUGGAUGGUUUCUCUUUGCUCAGGUUCUACCCCACCCAUUCUCUACUCCUCACCACCACGUUCAGUGCUUCUGGAGGCUGACCUGUAUGGACUCGUCAACGGGCUCCUUGGCCCUGUGGCAUCUAGUUGGGCCUUGCUGUUGGGGGGCCAAUUACAGAUCGGAGGUACCUGCAACAGAGAAGCAGGCAACAGGAGAGUGAGCCUUGGGGUUCAUCCCUCUGCCCCCUCCCUGCCAAGUUGCUGCUGUUGACUGUUUCCCUCUUCAGAAGGCCAUAAAUCCUCCAACAGGACAGCUCUCCUCUACAAAAAAAAAAAAAAAUUAUAUAAAUAUCUUGAGGCUUUGAAUAACAUCACUCUUCAGAGAGCGAUACUUUUGAUUGAUUGUUAGCAGUUAGGAGAGGGAAGACCACCCUUAAUCGAGUCAGAGAUUGAGCUGAUUUCAAGGUGAUUUUUUAGUCUUGGCAAAGGAGGGUUCUUGUCCUGUUUACUCUUAUUCUUAUAGUAUUAGACCAUCAGGGGAUUCUUUUUUUUUUUUUUAACUUAAAUUCGAUUAGCAAACAUAGAGUACAGCAUUAGUUUCAGAUGUAGUGUUCAAUAAUGUAUCAGUUGCUUAUAACACCCAGUGCUCAUUGCAUCACGUGCCCUCCUGAAUGUCCGCCAUCCGGUUACCCGUCCCCCAACCCACCUCCCCUCCAGCAACCCUCAGUUUGGUUCAUAUACUUAAAUGUCUCUCAUGGCUUUUCUUCCACUCUGAUGACCUCCCAUUCAGUUUACCCUCCCUUUCCCAUGAUCCUCUUCACCGUUUCUUAUAGUCCGCAUAUGAGUGAAACCACAUAAUUGUCUUUCUCCUAGAUCUCCCUGAUAUGAGGAAUUUGAGAAACAAGACAGAGGAUCACAGGGGAAGGGAGGGGAAAAUGAAACAAGAUGAAACCAGAGAAAGAGACAAACCAUAAGAGACUCUUAAUCUCAGGAAACAAACUGGGGGUUGCUGGGGGUGGGAAGGUAUGGGGUGGCUGAGUGAUAGACGUUGGGGAGGGUAUGUGCUAUGGUGAGUGCUGUGAAUCACAGCCCUGUAUCCCUGUACCCCUGAAACAAAUAAUAUAUGUUAAUAAACUUAUAUAAAAAUAAUUAUCUUUUUCUGAUGGACUUAUUUCAC